GGGACUAUGUGACUCUUGUGUGUGAUGGUGAGCCUAUAGAGAUGGGGGCAAAAACCUCAUCCAUGAUCCAUCACACGACAUGCAUAUCGAUAGAUAAUUCGUGAAAGUCAGAUAUCUACCUUUUAGGGUGAAACGUAUGUAUGUCUAAGAGAUACCCCUAUACGUCAUAGAGUUGUGGUCGCAUAAAGUCUUGGUGACCUUAACUCGUCUCUAAGAGAGGACCUGAAAUCCACAGACUGAGAUUGCGAGCCUUAGGCUCAUCGACCAGACUUUGGUGACUCGCUAAAGAGCCCCUGCUUGGAUUGUGGGUUAUGGGAAACAUUGAGUCGGUUUGAUAAAGCAAGUGUGGUCUGUAGUCCACAGUUGAAGGUUGAGUGCCCCAUGAUUGUUACUUCAAUUCUUA
rnacentral:lncRNA from 1 species